rnacentral:tRNA from 1 species
GCCGAUGUAGCUCAGAGGAAGAGCGCCGGAUUUGGUCCGGAGGUCAGGGGUUCGAGUCCCUUCAUCAGCACCA